rnacentral:rRNA from 1 species
UACGUAGGUGGCGAGCGUUGUCCGGAUUUAUUGGGCGUAAAGCGCGCGCAGGCGGUUCGCUCCGUCCGGUGUGAAAUCUCCCGGCUCACCUGGGAGGGGGCGCUGGAGACUGGCGAACUGGAGGCAGGGAGAGGUCGGUGGAAUUCCCGGUGUAGCGGUGAAAUGCGCAGAUAUCGGGAGGAACACCAAUGGCGAAGGCAGCUCGCUGGGACGGUACUGACGCUGAGACGCGAAAGCGUGGGGAGCAAACAGG